AUUGAACGCUGGCGGCAGGCCUAACACAUGCAAGUCGAACGGUAGCACAGAGAGCUUGCUCUCGGGUGACGAGUGGCGGACGGGUGAGUAAUGUCUGGGAAACUGCCCGAUGGAGGGGGAUAACUACUGGAAACGGUAGCUAAUACCGCAUAACGUCUUCGGACCAAAGUGGGGGACCUUCGGGCCUCACACCAUCGGAUGUGCCCAGAUGGGAUUAGCUAGUAGGUGGGGUAACGGCUCACCUAGGCGACGAUCCCUAGCUGGUCUGAGAGGAGGACCAGCCACACUGGAACUAGGACACGGUCCAGACUCCUACGGGAGGCAGCAGUGGGGAAUAGUGCACAAUGGGCGCAAGCCUGAUGCAGCCAUGCCGCGUGUAUGAAGAAGGCCUUCGGGUUGUAAAGUACUUUCAGCGGGGAGGAAGGCGAUGAAGUUAAUAGCUUCGUCGAUUGACGUUACCCGCAGAAGAAGCACCGGCUAACUCCGUGCCAGCCGCCGCCGUAA
rnacentral:rRNA from 1 species